rnacentral:rRNA from 1 species
GCGUGAGCCAUCCGGUGGAGUGAUCAGAAGUGAGAAUGUUGACAUGAGUAGCGACAAACAGGGUGAGAGACCCUGUCGCCGAAAGUCCAAGGGUUCCUGCUUAAAGCUAAUCUGAGCAGGGUGAGCCGGCCCCUAAGGCGAGGCCGAAAGGCGUAGUCGAUGGGAACCAGGUUAAUAGUCCUGGGCCAGGAGAUGGUGACGGAUCGCAGGUGUUGUUCUUCCUUAUCGGAUUGGAAGGGCGGCUGAGCGGUUCCUGGAAAUAGCCCUCCACAAGACCGUACCCUAAACCGACACAGGUGGACUGGUAGAGAAUACCAAGGCGCUUGAGAGAACCACAUUUAAGGAACUCGGCAAAAUACCUCCGUAAGUUCGCGAGAAGGAGGCCCGAUUGGUGCGCAAGCAUUGGUCGGGGGCACAAACCAGGGGGUGGCGACUGUUUACUAAAAACACAGGGCUCUGCGAAGCCGUAAGGCGACGUAUAGGGUCUGACGCCUGCCCGGUGCCGGAAGGUUAAAAGGAGAUGUGCAAGCAUUGAAUUGAAGCCCCGGUAAACGGCGGCCGUAACGAUAACGGUCCUAAGGUAGCG